AUACCUUUCUCGGCCUUUUGGCUAAGAUCAAGUGUAGUAUCUGUUCUUAUCAGUUUAAUAUCUGAUAUGUGGGUCAUCGGCCCACUCGAUAUUAAUCUUAUUUUUUAUGGGGAAAGACCCAUCACAAUAGCUUGCUAUUGGGGUCUUUGACCGUCGCCUUGGUCUUGCACUAUUGCCUUGGCCUGGCGCACCCCUC
rnacentral:snRNA from 1 species